UACGUAGGGGGCUAGCGUUGUCCGGAAUUAUUGGGCGUAAAGCGCGUGUAGGCGGUCCGGUAAGUCCGCUGUGAAAGUCGGGGGCUCAACCCUCGAAUGCCGGUGGAUACUGUCGGGCUAGAGUGCGGAAGAGGCGAGUGGAAUUCCUGGUGUAGCGGUGAAAUGCGCAGAUAUCGGGAGGAACACCAAUGGCGAAGGCAGCUCGCUGGGACGGUACUGACGCUGAGACGCGAAAGCGUGGGGAGCAAACAGG
rnacentral:rRNA from 1 species